GUGGAGGAGACUGUGAUGGAAUUUCCCCCAGGGCUCUGUAACAGCUCUCAGAGAACCUCUAUGAGCACAGUGAAUGUGGGGGAGACUGUGAUGGAAUUUUCCUACCUUGCAAUAUACUUUUGUAGGGACAGCAUGUUCAUAGGUAUAAUCCAGAUAAAAAUCUCCUGCAGUCCAGAUAAUCUCCAGUGCAGUUUUGCUGAAGAUAAGAGAAAUAUUCCUCAUAGGAAUGCAGCAAAUACCUGCCAACUUUCUGACUGAGCAGAAGGUCAUAAAGCAAGUAUAAAUCAGAAAAGCAGAGGCAUAUAUAAACAUUAGAAUGAGAGGUGAGAAUUAAAAGCAGCUUUUUGUACAUAUGGGAGUGGAAAACAGCUGAAUAAAACAAACUCAACGUUAAUGCCAGUGUGGUUUUCUGUCUAAAAUGCAAAGCCAUGUGUGUGGAGCGAAAGAAAAUGGCUGCACUGAUUUCCAGAGCUGGAAGAAAAGCCAGAAGGAAAAGGAAAGGAAGAUGAAUUGGGAGCAGCAACUACUGGAUGCUGCCAGGAUCUCUGAGACCAUAAAGAAUGUGAGAAGAUGUGGGACAAGAACAAGAGUACAUUAUGAUGUGUUUGCCUUCAGUGAAUAUUCAAAGUAAAUUGAAAUUCACCCAGUGACACAGUCUUGUCACAGACGGGUCAAUACUUUUGCUGUCAUGGAUAACAGAUGUUCUGCCCAAAGGGGCCAGGAGCCAUCUGCUUAUGUCCUGAUCUACAAUGCUCCACAACCUGAGAGAACAAUGAACCUGGGAGCCUAAAAUGUUGCCUCUCUUGUCAUUUAAAAGUCUGACAAAACUUCCCCUGGCAAGAGCAAUUUCUCUGGGCUUCUCAAUCCACUACUUGGUUGUAGCUGCCUUUCUGUAGAUUAGUCUUUAUUCUUGUCUUUAUUUGUCUUUAUUCUUGCUUUCUGCUGCUGAAGGCUUUUUCUUCCUCACACCUGGUUUAUCUGUGUUAUUUUGGACUCAGUUAUAUUUUGUUCUCUGUGGUUUCCCUUUAACAAGAGUGUUUCUUUGCCUUGCUCCUUGCUUGAUGAUUUUGAAGAUCCCUGACCAUUCCUGACCACUGGACACCCUCAGGCCAUCCUUAUUGCUCAGACUUCUGGCCUUAGCUGCACCUUGGUCAAGUUAUUGGAUUUUCUUCUGGGUUAGAAGGUCCUCACUCAGCUGCAAUCUCUCCAUCUACCCUACUGAUCCUUAUCCCAUAACUCCAGAAGCCAUAUCAACUUAAAUGGGUCAAAAGAAGAGAGCAGCGAAACGAGAGGCAUCUGCAGUAGUUGGAAAUUAGAUGAAAGGCCCCCAAGAUCCAGGAAGAUGCAUUCCGUAUCCUUUCUAGCUGUCAGUUCUGGCAAGUAGUUUGUGUAACUAAGUCUCAGCAACCAAAAAAAAAAAAAAAGAGCAUCUUUUUUUUAUGUCAUCCAGCCCUUGUUAAUGUAAUACGUGUGCCUUGAGUAUUAUGAUUAUUUAUUAUUGAACUGAGGGAAACAUUGUGUGAGUCUGUCAGACUUGCAGGAAUAGCUUGCACUCUUGCACAUGCCUUUCCCUUAUGUACAGUUUGGCACCUUUGAGUGCAUUGUUUUUGUCUGUGCUUACUUUAAACUGAGAAGCUUGAAGAAAUGCAGUAACAGUCACGGGGGAAAAGGGAAACCAGUUAUUUAUAGCCUUGAGCAGUUCAGCUUUCAGGAUGGUUAUGAGCUUUUUAGUGGGAAGCAGUGCCCUAAUUCUGAAUGCUUUAGGAUGUCCUGCACUUGACACAUCAGGGCUGCUCUUAGCCCAGUCUCCCCCAUGCCACCAGGGCUGUCUUUGCAAGGAGGUUUGUGCUCAGAACAGAUGUGUGGGCUACUAGUCUGGGCUCAGGCAUCACUGGAUGUACCUAGGCACCAACCAAGACCCAUCUGGGUGCCUCAGCACAGCUGGCUACUCAAUGUGGUGUCAGGAUAGAGAGCCCAUGAGGAGGAGAGCACCUUCUCCUCCAUCUGGAUGGACAAGAUGAUCUGCAGAGUGCAGAAGGGCUUGCCUGAAGGUGUCUGUUCUGGGGACAUUUGCAGAUAUGACACUUGUCUGAGAUGGUACAGGGCUACAUCAUGCUGCCAAAAGUUACAGGUACCAGAACAAUGUAGGAGGACAUGGAGCUGCAUUCUGCCAGAGGGUAACAGUUGUGACUUAAUUUCACCAUGCCGAAAAGUUACUUAAGUGUCUUCUGGACUCUCCCUGCCACCCAGGACUCAGAGUGCCAACACAUCUUUGCCCUGUGGUAGCAGCCCCUCAGAAUCAUUCCUCUGAUUUUUGGAAAACUUACCAUUAUCUUAGCACAGCCCUUUUCAGAGGGAAGAAGAGGCUCAGAGAACAGCAACUGUACUUCAGCAAAAGUGCACAUCCCUCUCUGCUUCCCCACACAAUACUUUGGGAGGUUGAAGGGUGCUGGCCACAAGCUUGAGAAGAUUGAGCUUGUCCCCUUACAGUACUAAUGAGAGCACACCAAUCAACAGCGUGGCUAAUUGGCUCCUCAGCUCACUGCUUCACCUUCCUGCAGGUCUUUGAGGGUGAAAAAUUCCAGCAAUGAGCCAGUUUCAAGUUCACCUGAUUGCUGAGCUCCCAAGGAAGAAGAGGCAAAGAAAGACAGAGGAGAGAUGAGCAGGGCUCCCUUCAAGAGACAGGUCCUAAUUGUGGAAGGUUUCACUGUGAGAAUUGAAUGCUGAUUGAACUGAGCCGCCCCAGCUGAAUGAAGCCUGGCCUGUGUACGCCUCUCCAUUGAACAGGAGUCAGUCAGGUGAAUUACUAUUAAAA